ACACCUCUGUCUCUCUCUCAAAUCUCUCCUUCCUCUCUCUAAAAUCCCUUCUCCCUCUCUCUAGAAUCCCUUCUCUGCUUAAAUUUUACCCAGCUCUAAAUCUCUCAAAUCAAGAUGUGAAUCUCAUUUAUCAAGUUUGUGGUCAAAUCCCUAAUUUUUCCCUUUUUCUUUUAGGAAAAAAAGUGAAGUGCAUAAUGGACUUUUGUGGAGGAAGAAUCGCACAUCCGAUUUCUCUCCCUAAUCUCAAGUUGUUGGAAUACAAAAACAAAAUCAUACAAAAAGACUCAUUUGAACCUAUUUGGUGUUGUCUUGAAAGGACUCUCACCUAUCUCUUUUUUGGAGAAAUCCUAUUUCGUGGAAAAGGGUAUAGAAAGAAGCCUCCCAAAAAAGAGUCACGCAGAUCAGGCAAACAUAGAGUCCAGUGUAUCUUUUGCUAUGAAAAUUAUGCGUCAAGAGAUGCAAGCCGGCAUGGGUCGGAAGUUGUAGGAAGAACGUGAACAAAUGGUUGCUGAGUUGCAAAGGAAUAUGGAACUUGAGUUGCAAAGGAAGUUGGAACACGAGUUGUCCAGGAAGUUGGCAGAGGAGCGUGAACUCGUGAAUGUAAAAGUAGAGAAGAGGAUCCAACUAGAAGUGGAAAAGAAGAUGCAAGAACAAUUUGCUACUUUCAUGACCAGAAUGCAACAUGUACUUGCUCUGCUCCUUCUUAGCAAUUCUUCUUCCUUCUCGACAUUUCUUCUUCCUUCCUUCUUGAAAAUUCUUCUGAGACUGGCUUCCUAUCUUCUUUUCAACUUCUCCUCCUUUAACUUUUAUCUUCUUGAUGAAUCUAUACCUUGAUUUGAAGCUUGGCUAGGGUGAGUCUAUAUCAUUAGUGUUUGGAUCAUCCACAAGUUUAUCUUUUGAUAAUAGGUUGUUGGGUUGUUUUGUAUUUAUCUGAAAUCUAGAUUUUUCAAUUAGACAUAUAAAGAGUUUGAAA